UGAGAGGCAGAACGAUUCUGACAGGAUUUAUGAGUCUGAAGGAAACUUUGAAGAUGAAAACUUUGAGGUUAAUGGCAGAAAAUUAAUGAAGCUGGAUGGAAAGACAAAACUUCCAGUAACAUCCCAGUAAAAAUAAGAUAUGAAAACUCAAGGGGACUGACAACUGAUAACUGACAACUCACGAUGAGCUGUCAUCCUGCUGCUGCCGCCCAUCGAUCCGAUCACCUGUAUUGAUAACGGAGUGAAACACAUCACACACAUCACAGCUGGACUGCUCCGAGGGGACGCAGCGCUCCGACAGUGAGAAACAACAUGGAGCCACUUAUUUUCUACACGUGAACACGUCAGGGCUCGUGACA